GAGUCCUUCAUAUUCAGGGAAGCCAAUCGAAGCUCCUGGGAGUUCAGCACUUUUGAAAAUUUGGCUUUAUGAAUCCAAUUACAGGCUACCUCUGACUAUAUAGGAAAGCCUAGGCAGACUGUCCAACGUGCAUGGCCUUUGGCAAUAAGCUCUGCACAGACUGGGAUACUAUAACAGGACAUUACUCCACAAAGGGUGAAAUAGAAGCAGCAUCCAGACAUCUGCGUCUCAUACCAGGUCCCUUCCCAUGGUAGUCUGGGAAUCCUAUCAUCACUCAUACUCCAUCCUUUCCCAUCUUUCCAAGGAUUUUCAGAAGAAGAGUCAAGGUGGAGAAGGGUGGAUGGAAAU